rnacentral:tRNA from 1 species
CGAAAUAAAGCAUUAAUAUGCAUUUCACUUACAUUGAAAAGAUAAUGAAACUCAUUUAUUUCGA